rnacentral:lncRNA from 1 species
ACAGCUUGACUUUUUAAACCUUUACUUCCUAGAAGCCCCUGAAUCGUUAAAGAUCAUAUAAAAGUCAAACUGUGGGGUGGUAAUAAAGUGGGAAAAGGAAAAUCAGGAAAAUACAUGAAUGGUGCAAUGGUUCUUAAAAAAAUAAUAUUUGAAUAAUAGAAGAAGGACCUUGUAAAUAGGUGGGCCUAAUAUAUUGAAUGACAAGAAAAAGUCAGUUUCACCUAGAAAAAGUGGGGAGUAUCUUAUGAAACAAGUGUAGAAUAAUGACUGGGUUGAACAUGGAAAUUGAAAUAAGGGGAACUAUUGUAUUAAAAGUGCUUAGGGAGGUUAGUCACUAUACAAACCAAAUGAAUCCCUAUUGAUCUUAGACUGAACAACUCGAUUAGUAGAGUAUUACACUAAUGGCAAGCUUAUGGUAUAUCUGUGUGGUAUGUGAAUGUUCUUUGCUGAGAGUGAGUGAAUUCGUUCUAUCUAUAGUUCUUUGUUGUUUGAUUUCAUAUCUAUAGUUCUUUGUGAGGGCAUUCAAAUCAGGACGAAAAAGCAAGUCUUCACCUCUAUUUAGAGGACAUAGAGUAAGCACGAGUGUGGCAUGACAUUACAGUCUUCACCUGAGGUGUGGCUGUUGCACUGCUUAGGUUGUUCUUUCAUAAUGGCAGGUGUGACAUAAACAAGGUAAUGCAUCAAACGAUUAGGCCUAUAAGUGUGGUUCAAUAUGCUCGAGGACGAGCAAAGAUUUAAGUGUGGGGUGUUGAUAAUUGGUAAAUUAGACUAUAAUUAGGCCCUAAAGAACGAUAUUUUUGUAUAGCUUUUACGUUAAAAAGUAAUAACAAAAUGCUCUUAUUAGUAUUUAUUAUCCUUUGCAGGUUAUAUCCAAUUAAAAAAAGUCUGUGGAGUACUUUUGGGAUCAACUACGAAGAAAAGGAGGCCAAUCAUACAAUAUCCACAAAGUGCACAAAGCAAAGGGACAAAACCAGAACUGAAGCUGGUCUGCCGCUGUCCGAGCGUAACCACGGUAGGACCGCGGCAGAACACUUGCAGAUUCUGAAGGCCACUCUGCUGCGGUCCUAGCGUAACCACGGUAGGACCGCGACAGGAUGCAUAAACUUUAGGGACCAAAGUGCAAAACACGGGAUUUUAAGCCCGAAACGCUAUAUUAAACGAAUGAAGCUGACCAAGAAAGAGGAGAAUGAUUUUUGGAAGUGAAAAGCAUCAGAAGGAAGGGCAAGAGGCAAGGAGGACCAUUGGGCAUCAAUCUUUAAUCUUCUUCUUUGUUCUUUUACCUUUGAAUAUGAAUUCUUUUGUGAUUUUUGAUAUUUUCAUGAGUAGCUAACUUUUCUAAUAUAAGGUUUUGGUGGAACUCGUUGGGGAUGAAUUUAUUGCGAU